UCGAGAAUCUUCGGCAAUGGGCGCAAGCCUGACCGAGCGACGCCGCGUGGAGGAUGAAGGCCUUCGGGUUGUAAACUCCUGUCGAGGGGGAAGAAGGCCGGGUAACCGGCUUGACUUAUCCCUGGAGGAAGCACGGGCUAAGUUCGUGCCAGCAGCCGCGGUAAGACGAACCGUGCGAACGUUAUUCGGAAUCACUGGGCUUAAAGCGCGUGUAGGCGGGACGGCACGUCGGUCGCUGAAAUCCCCCGGCUCAACCGGGGAACGGGCGCCGAUACGACCGCCCUGGAGGGACGUAGGGGGACCUGGAACUUCCGGUGGAGCGGUGAAAUGCGUUGAGAUCGGAAGGAACGCCCGUGGCGAAAGCGAGGUCCUGGACGUCUUCUGACGCUGAGACGCGAAAGCCAGGGGAGCGAACG
rnacentral:rRNA from 1 species